rnacentral:rRNA from 1 species
GAUGAACGCUGACAGAAUGCUUAACACAUGCAAGUCUACUUGAUCCUUCGGGUGAUGGUGGCGGACGGGUGAGUAACGCGUAAAGAACUUGCCCUGCAGUCUGGGACAACAUCUGGAAACGGAUGCUAAUACCGGAUAUUAUGGUUUUUUCGCAUGGAGGAAUCAUGAAAGCUGGAUGCGCUAAGAGAGAGCUUUGCGUCCCAUUAGCUAGUUGGUGAGGUAACGGCCCACCAAGGCAAUGAUGGGUAGCCGGCCUGAGAGGGUGAACGGCCACAAGGGGACUGAGACACGGCCCUU